rnacentral:tRNA from 1 species
GGGCUCGUAGCUCAGCUUGGAUAGAGCAUCUGCCUUUUAAGCAGGUGGUCGCGGGUUCAAAAGAAGCUUUUCUUUUGUAAAAGAAAAUCUUCAAUAAAAGAAAACACAAGAAACGCUCUGAAUGUCCCGUCGGGCCCA